GAGAUUAAUGGUUAUGAUCUGGAAUGACUCCUCGUUUUUGUUGGGUCAUAAUAAGACGGAUUUGUGUCAUGUGAGGGGUAAAUAGGAAUAAAAAUAAAAAUAAAAACUGUCGUUCCUUUUUUUGAGUGCGGAUUAAUUGGGAGUCAUUACUCCACACUCUCUUUUCAACGAAAACUCCUCCACUUUUCCUCAAAUCUUCUUCUUCUUCCACAAAAUCAAGAAAAACCCUACCUCCACACAAAUCGGCUAGUCCACAAUAACCCUCAUCCUAAUUUACGAUUCUGAAAUCGACGAGGUGGGUGAACCAAAAGCCUACUUUAACAAUGGUCGACACUCGAGCUUCUGGAUCGGCGAGGCAUGACGGAAAAGGGAGAACUUCCACAAAACCCUCAACUGAAGUGAGGCCUGGUAUUGAUGACACAAAACAAGAUACAACACCACAUAACAAAAUCAGUCCAGAAGGGGAAAAAAUGAAAGGAACGGCUGAAGAUGAGAAAAACUUCCAUUACAAUGGCCUUGGAAUGCUUUCCUCUUGUUUCUUAUAGACGAUAGCCCAUGUGAUGAGCAUUACUGAUACAUUGGGUCAUAGUAAAUGAUAUUUGUGUCAUAGCAUUGUUAGGUUAAUUUGUGUCAUAAUAUACCAACAUUCGAGGCAUGACAUAAACUACUGAGUUCCAGAAUGUCUCAUACAAUUUGAUCGAAAUGUUCGUAUCAAACAAACUAAAUAUUAG